rnacentral:tRNA from 1 species
GGCCGUGCCGGAGUGGUUAUCGGGCAUGACUAUCAUAUGGGCUCUGCCCGCGCAGGUUCAAGUCCUGCCGGGCCA